rnacentral:rRNA from 1 species
UGGGGAAUAUUGCACAAUGGGCGCAAGCCUGAUGCAGCCAUGCCGCGUGUGUGAAGAAGGCCUUCGGGUUGUAAAGAACUUUCAGCGGGGAGGAAGGCGGUGAGGUUAAUAACCUCAUCGAUUGACGUUACCCGCAGAAGAAGCACCGGCUAACUCCGUGCCAGCAGCCGCGGUAAUACGGAGGGUGCAAGCGUUAAUCGGAAUUACUGGGCGUAAAGCGCACGCAGGCGGUCUGUCAAGUCGGAUGUGAAAUCCCCGGGCUCAACCUGGGAACUGCAUUCGAAACUGGCAGGCUAGAGUCUUGUAGAGGGGGGUAGAAUUCCAGGUGUAGCGGUGAAAUGCGUAGAGAUCUGGAGGAAUACCGGUGGCGAAGGCGGCCCCCUGGACAAAGACUGACGCUCAGGUGCGAAAGCGUGGGGAGCAAACAGG